rnacentral:rRNA from 1 species
UCCGUAGGCGGUGCGGCAAGUCGGAAGUGAAACCUCUGGGCUUAACUCAGAGGCUGCUUCCGAAACUGCCGUGCUCGAGUGUGAGAGAGGCGAGUGGAAUUACGGGUGUAGCGGUGAAAUGCGUAGAUAUCCGUAGGAACAUCCGAGGCGAAAGCGGCUCGCUGGAUCACAACUGACGCUGAGGGACGAAAGCUAGGGGAGCAAACAGGAUUAGAUACCCUGGUAGUCCUAGCCCUAAACCAUCAGGACUUGGGGUUUGCCCUGUACGGGGCAAGUCCCGGAGCUAACGCGUUAAGUCCUGCGCCUGGGGAGUACGGUCGCAAGGCUGAA